AUUGCGGGUAUUCCCGUUGUUCUGGCAGGGUGUAUUAGUUAUUAAUUGCCCUGCGAGAACAAAGGGAAUACCUGCAAUCAU